rnacentral:rRNA from 1 species
AUUGAACGCUGGCGGCAUGCCUUACACAUGCAAGUCGAACGGCAGCAUGGAAGAGCUUGCUCUUCUGAUGGCGAGUGGCGAACGGGUGAGUAAAGCAUCGGAACGUACCGUGUAGUGGGGGAUAACGUAGCGAAAGUUACGCUAAUACCGCAUACGCACUGAGGUGGAAAGCAGGGGAUCGCAAGACCUUGCGCUAUACGAGCGGCCGAUGUCAGAUUCGCUAGUUGGUAGAGUAAAGGCCUACCAAGGCGACGAUCUGUAGCGGGUCUGAGAGGAUGAUCCGCCACACUGGGACUGAGACACGGCCCAGACUCCUACGGGAGGCAGCAGUGGGGAAUUUUGGACAAUGGGGGAAACCAUGAUCCAGCCAUGCCGCGUGAGUGAAGAAGGCCUUCGGGUUGUAAAGCUCUUUCGGCUGGGAAGAAAUCGCACAGGCUAAUACUCUGUGUGGAUGACGGUACCAGCAUAAGAAGCACCGGCUAACUACGUGCCAGCCGCCGCAGUAA